CACCCCCCAAGCUCUGCUUGAUGUUGGACGGAGCGGAAGUCUGCCCGUCUGAAACUUGUGAGGCGUCCGUCCGUCGAGCACCAGCGUGGCAAGCAAACCUUCGCUGGAAAGUGCUUCGACGGCCGACUGCCGCGAACUACCUACAUCAUUUCA
rnacentral:misc_RNA from 2 species